CCCAUUAUCUCAAGUAGCCAUAUGUUUCUCAUUCACUUGAUACACCGUUUCCUUUCAACCCCCACAUCCUCACCACCUGUUUCUUUGUUAGAUCACCAAUAAAUAGCGUGGGCUCCCAGAACUCGGGGCCUUCGCAGCCUCCACACUCGCGAUGGUGCCCUGGUCCCAUUUUUCUCUCUCAAACUGUCUGUUUCUCAUUCCUUUGACUCCGCUGGACUUGCCGCCCCUGCGACCUGGUGUUGGGUCUCAUCACCCCAACAGAUUCCCAUUCUAAAGAUGAGGGAACCAAGAGGGGGAAGUUCAUGCCGUGGAGGAAGUGGUGAAGGAGGUGGUGGGACAUGCCAAGGAGACUGGAGAGAAAGCCAUUGCUGAAGCCAUAAAGAAAGCCCAAGAGUCAGGAGACAAAAAGAUGAAGGAAAUCACUGAGACAGUGAC